CCGUAGCCCAAGAGAUCGGGAUAACACCUGGAAACAGAUGCUAAUACCGGAUAACAACAGAUGAUGCCUAUCAACUGUUUAAAAGAUGGUUCUGCUAUCACUCUUGGAUGGACCUGCGGUGCAUUAGCUAGUUGGUAGGGUAACGGCCUACCAAGGCGAUGAUGCACAGCCGAGUUGAGAGACUGAUCGGCCACAUUGGGACUGAGACACGGCCCAAACUCCUACGGGAGGCAGCAGCC
rnacentral:rRNA from 1 species